rnacentral:rRNA from 1 species
CAGUAGCCACGGUAAUACGAAGGUUGCAAGCGUUACUCGGAAUUACUGGGCGUAAAGCGUGCGUAGGUGGUUGUUUAAGUCUGCUGUGAAAGCCCUGGGCUCAACCUGGGAAUUGCAGUGGAUACUGGGCGACUAGAGUAAGGUAGAGGAUAGUGGAAUUUCCGGUGUAGCAGUGAAAUGCGUAGAGAUCGGAAGGAACAUCUGUGGCGAAGGCGACUAUCUGGGCCAUUACUGACACUGAGGCACGAAAGCGUGGGGAGCAAACAGGAUUAGAUACCCCUGUAGUCCCUGUCUCUUAUAU